rnacentral:rRNA from 1 species
UACGAAGGGGGCUAGCGUUGUUCGGAAUACUGGGCGUAAAGCGCGCGCAGGCGGUUUUCCAAGUCAGUGGUGAAAGCCCGGAGCUCAACUCCGGAACUGCCAUUGAAACUGGCGAACUUGAGUACGAGAGAGGUGAGUGGAAUUCCCAGUGUAGAGGUGAAAUUCGUAGAUAUUGGGAAGAACACCGGUGGCGAAGGCGGCUCACUGGCUCGUAACUGACGCUCAGGCGCGACAGCGUGGGGAUCAAACAGG